rnacentral:rRNA from 1 species
GUGGAUGCCUAGGCGGCAGGAGGCGAUGAAGGACGUGGUAGCCUGCGAAAAGCCUCGGGGAGUUGGCAAACAAACUUUGACCGAGAG